UACGUAGGGCGCAAGCGUUGUCCGGAAUUAUUGGGCGUAAAGAGCUCGUAGGCGGUUUGUCGCGUCUGCUGUGAAAUCCCGAGGCUCAACCUCGGGCUUGCGGUGGGUACGGGCAGACUAGAGUGUGGUAGGGGAGACUGGAAUUCCUGGUGUAGCGGUGAAAUGCGCAGAUAUCAGGAGGAACACCGAUGGCGAAGGCAGGUCUCUGGGCCACUACUGACGCUGAGAAGCGAAAGCAUGGGGAGCGAACAGG
rnacentral:rRNA from 1 species